UACGUAGGCGGAAAAUUAAGUCAGUAGUGAAAUCCUGCAGCUUAACUGUAGAACUGUUAUUGAUACUGGUUUUCUUGAAUAUAGUUGAGGUAGGCGGAAUGUGUAAUGUAGCGGUGAAAUGCUUAGAUAUUACACAGAACACCGAUUGCGAAGGCAGCUUACUAAACUGUUAUUGACGCUGAGGUACGAAAGCGUGGGGAGUGAACAGGAUUAGAUACCCUGGUAGUCC
rnacentral:rRNA from 1 species